rnacentral:rRNA from 1 species
AUUGAACGCUGGCGGCAGGCUUAACACAUGCAAGUCGAGCGGAGAUGAGGUGCUUGCCCCUUAUCUUAGCGGCGGACGGGUGAGGAAUGCUUAGGAAUCCGCCUACUAGUGGGGGACCACAGUCCGCAAGGACUGCUCAUACCGCAUGCGCCCUACGGCGGAAAGCAGGGGACCUUAGGACCUUGCGCUACUAGAUGAGCCUCAGCCGGAUUAGCGAGUUGGUGGGGUAAAGGGCGACCAAGGCGACGAUCUGAUGCGGGUCGGAGAGGAUGAUCCGCCGCACUGGGACUGAGACGCGGCCCAGACUCCUACGGGAGGCAGCAGUGGGGAAUAUUGGACAAUGGGCGGAAGCCUGAUCCAGCCAUGCCGCGUGUGUGAAGAAGGCCUUUUGGUUGUAAAGCACUUAAAGCGAGGAGGAGGCUACCUGGAUUAAUACUCUAGGAUAGUGGACGUUACUCGCAGAAUAAGCGCCGGCUAACUCUGUGCCAGCCGCCGCCGUAAUAC